UACUGCUAUCAGNUGNUUCGAUUAAGCCAUGCGAGUUAAAUAUUCUUCGUGAACAUGGCGUACUGCUCAGUAACACGUGGAUAACCUGCCCUAAGGUCCGGCAUAACCCCGGGAAACUGGGGAUAAUACCGGAUAAACCAUAGAUACUGGAAUGUUCUGUGGUUCAAAGUUCCGGCGCCUUAGGAUGGAUCUGCGGCCUAUCAGGUAGUAGUGGGUGUAAAGUACCUACUAGCCGACGACGGGUACGGGUUGUGAGAGCAAGAGCCCGGAGAUGGAUUCUGAGACAUGAAUCCAGGCCCUACGGGGCGCAGCAGGCGCGAAAUCUUUACAAUGCGGGAAACCGCGAUAAGGGGACACUGAGUGCCAGCAUAUUAUGUUGGCUGUCCACCUGUAUAAAUCACAGGUGUUAGCAAGGGCCGGGCAAGACCGGUGCCAGCCGCCGCGGUAACACCGGCGGCCCGAGUGGUAGCCACUAUUAUUGGGUCUAAAGGGUCCGUAGCCGGUUUGAUCAGUCUUCCGGGAAAUCUGACAGCUCAACUGUUAGGCUUCCGGGGGAUACUGUCAGGCU
rnacentral:rRNA from 1 species